rnacentral:rRNA from 1 species
AUUGAACGCUGGCGGCAGGCCUAACACAUGCAAGUCGAACGAGUGGCGGACGGGUGAGUAAUGUCUGGGAAACUGCCUGAUGGAGGGGGAUAACUACUGGAAACGGUAGCUAAUACCGCAUACCAUCGGAUGUGCCCAGAUGGGAUUAGCUAGUAGGUGGGGUAAAGUCUCACCUAGGCGACGAGCCCUAGCUGGUCUGAGAGGAUGACCAGCCAACCGGGAACUGAGACACGGUCCAGACUCCUACGGGAGGCAGCAGUGGGGAAUAUUGCACAAUGGGCGCAAGCCGGAUGCAGCCAUGCCGCGUGUAUGAAGAAGGCCUUCGGGUUGUAAAGUACUUUCAGCGGGGAGGCGUUACCCGCAGAAGAAGCACCGGCUAACUCCGUGCCAGCAGCCGCGGUAAUAC